CCAAGCUCGUGCAGUCGCUCUGAUGCAAGUCCACAGAGCACAAAGCCUCAGCACUGCCGAGUUUUGGGAGCAAUUUUCUCCUGUCCUCGUUAAAAGCCUGUGGUUGUCCUGCCUUCCUACUGCUGCUUCCACUGCUCACAGCUACCUUUUGAGUUUCAGAAGACCAAACACAGAGAUGAAUCUCCCAAAGUACCUUUGCCUUCAGUUUCCCAGCUGUGUGGGCUCAGCUUAUUUGUUGCUCAGAGAGUGAAAUAUAUACCUAAAAUCCUGAGAAUUCAGCAUGGAUUUGCUUGUAGGGGAGUGCUGAAACAGCUGCUGCAGCAUUGUCUGGUGGGAUUUUUUCCAGCUGUCUCCCUUCCAUGUGGUUCUCUCCAGGCCUGACAGAUGGGUGAGCAGUGGCAGGGCUGGUGGAGCAUCCCUGUGCCUGGAUGGGGCCCAUCAAGAUCCCCCUCAUGUCAGGACAACAGCAUGGAAAACAUCGCCGAGACAGCGGUGUCCUCACUGUGGUGGAUGCAGAGACAGGAGGAUCAGCUCUGGUAAGUGAAGAAUCAGAGGAGUGAUGGGGUGUAAGGCCAAGAAACCCCUGUCUGAAUGUUCCAGCUGACUUGCUGCAGUAAGCAGCCCACGAUAACCCCACAAAUUUAUUUAAUGAGGACAGAAGGGAGAAAGGACAUGAUGGAGAAAACCUGAAAUCAGCUCUAGGACCUUGGGAUGAGACUUUUCUUUUUAAAUUUUUUUUCUUUUCCCAUCCCUAGAAAGCCCUUUCGCAUCCUGCAUCAUCUUUCCUGUAAGCAGCAGCUCUUCCAGGAGAUUUAAAUAGAUGUGCAAGAGAAAUCCUUCCCCUGCCUGCGCCUGGGGUUACCCCGCGCGUCAUCUUCCCGGCGAGGAACAGCAGUGGCCGUGCGAGCAGAGAGCUGAGCUUUCUGGAUUGCUUCAAAGCCCCGCUCUGCCAACCAGAUUAUUGAUCAAGAGGAAACGUCGGCGUUUCAGAAGCUUCCCCAAAAAGGCACGGAGCCCACUCGGCUCCUGUGCGUCACUGGGGAUUUUUUUAUCCGCGGAUUUUCCGGCGUGUUUAACAGAGCCGGGUCGUCCAGGAGGGACCCUGGCAGAAUCUCCCUGCUGAGUGACUCACACUCGCACAUCAUGGGAAUAUGGGUUGACUUCAACAUACUGCACUUUUCAACUCUGAUUCAUGCCACCCCAGGAGAGUAAAUAAGGCAACUCCACACACAUCUCGGCCGUGACGAGCUGCCUUCCCACUGAAAAGGUGUCAGGACGAAUGACACUGCCAGGGAGUGGUGUCACCUACAGCUUAGCCAGCAAUUUCACAAAUAGGACAAAAUGUCUCUUUGCAUGUACACCACAAGCCCCUUGCAGCCCGGGGUACCUGCCCUCUUGCGUGUUGCAGGAGGUCUUUGCUAUCUUUAAACCAAAGAUGCUGUGCUAAGUCCAGAGAGUUUUUGGCAGGUUUGCUAAAGCUUGGGGACAUUUAUUAGCAAUCUGGGGUUGUCACUUUUCAGGCAGAUCGCUUCUCUGCAGAUCACUUCAGAAGGGUGGCUCAAAAAAGCAGAGAGCUUCACUUGGCUGGAUGAUUCCCAAAUUCAGGGUAAGCCAGGUCACUGCUGCAGAAGGCGUUACGUGAUGUGUUUAGCACCAUAGAGACAAAAAUCAGGAGCAUAUUUUUUUAACACGAUCUAAAUGAAUUAUGUAUCUGAAAUCAGUUGUUUGGGGAAAAACUCCAACUGUCAUUACUGGUACCUGGAUGGUGGUGAGUCACCAAAUUACAUCCUUGGGUUGGGGAAACGGGGAGCUGAAUAAGUGGAUGUCUAGUUGCCUGUUAAGCCAGUGAAGCAAUCCAGCUAAAGCACCUCCUGUACCAGUCAGAUGAUUUCUUCAGUACAUUUUCACUCCAAUCCUGGCUUGCAGCUUUGCCAGGAAAGCCCAAGGAAAAUGCCCAGGUUCUCCUUACAGCUCCUGUUCAGCCUCUGCAGGGAGCAGCAGCCCCUGGGUCAGCUCUGGCAGCUCCCUCCAGCACAUGGCUCUGCCAACCCAGUGACUCAGCAGGAAUAUCUUGGCAGAAAUCAUCAAAAGAAGGAAGCCUUAGCCAUCUCCUGAUAGCAGAUUGUGGAUCUGUGCUUUUUAUUUAGCCUCAUCUGUCACUGAGUCUGUGUAGCUAUCGGUCUGUGCCUGGAGGGAGCUGGAUUACAGGUGAAUUUUCUGAUUGCAGGUUGCUGAUGUGAAGAAGUGAAUGUGUUCUUAGGCAGGUUAGCCAAAUGGAGGGGCAGAAGUUAUUGAAUAAGCAUUAAGUGAAUUGGGGGCUUAAUUCCCAGUGAAUGCCAGCUCCUCCAGUUCUUUUCUCCCUUAGGCUUUAAUAAAAACCUCAGUCUUAUCCUGAAACCUGCAAGAGAGAAAUAUCCCCAGCAGCACAAUUAGUGCAUGCUAUGCCACUUCUUACAGUGCUGUAAUAUUGUCUUUCUUUCAAAGUAAAUAAAGAAAGAACCCCCCCUCAUUUGAUUACAUGUUCUGUUCUUUCCUCCAGCCUUGUCAACGUGAAGCACAGGGAUUGCCUAAUCUGCUCUCAUUAUUUAAUUAUGUGACUGCACUGGCUUCUGGCCCUAACCCAUCACGACUGGCACUGCAUUCCUGCCCAGCCUCCAGGCACCUCCAGCUCCGAGCUAUUAAAGUCCUGGGAUUAAGAACAUAAAAUAUGUCUCCAAGACAGAGUCGUGCCCUCUGCUGUUGGCAGUUUCCCCACGUGAGGCCCUCAGCAGUGUAACUGUGGGCCAGAGAAAGAAAUAAGAAGAACUUUGUCCCCCCAGCUUGAACCUUGAGGCGCAUGGUGCUUUUCUUCCUCUGCGGCUUGCAGGGAAAUGAGUCACAGUCAGGACAGCAUCUUCUGCGUGAGGUUGGUGUAGCUCUGGGAGAUGGACCCUGGCAGAGUGAUGGAGGUUUGAUGGCACUAAGAAAGAGCCCCUGCUAUCACUAGCUUUGCACAAGCACUUUGGCUCUUUACAGUUUUCAUUAGGUGAGCAGCUGCAGAGGCACAGAGUGAUAGAUUUUCCACUGUCAGUCCCCUUUGCCUGUGUCUGAGCAGCUUUGCCUUGGGAGAUGGACCUUGUGGGGCUCCUGCACUGAGGCCAAAUUCUUCCAGUACCAGGAUGGUAACACAUAUGUGGGACACCUAUGGAAAAAAAGGGGAUUUAAACUGAAAUUUUCUGCUAGUGUUUCUUAGGCUUUGCUCAUCCCCACCUAAAUUCACAGGGGGCUGAAGGAUGAGGCGCCUGUUUUCCUCUGUUCUCAUUUCAUUUUGUUUCCUUUGUUUGGUCCCCAUCAUAGCAGCUCUUGGGCCCAGGCCCAGCACUUAGCAGCAGUAGCACAGGAAUUGAUUUCAGCAGAAGCAGACAAUUUCCUAAAUUAUUAAUGUUAAUAGUGGACAAACCACAGGACACAAGCAAAAAUAUACAGAACAAAGAGCUGGAGAAAAGCAAGAGGAUGGCAGCCAGAAUCAUCAGGGUGAUGAGAGACAGAACAGGGAUAGACAGAGAUAUGUCCUGCAUAACUGGGACCAAAAUGGAGCACACACAGAGAAGGUUUUGGGAAAAUCCAAAAGCAAAGCAGUGCACCCCUUGGAGAGAUUCCCAAUUGCUAUGGAUACAUGCACUGUUAUUAUCAGGGUUUUAUAACAAGCAGCUCACACGCAGAAAUUUCUACAUGAUGAAAGAUCUGUGUCCCAUGCCUUUAUUAGAAACAUGCUGGGG